UACGUAGGGUGCAAGCGUUAAUCGGAAUUGCUGGGCGUAAAGCGUGCGCAGGCGGUUUCGUAAGUCUGUCGUGAAAUCCCCGGGCUUAACCUGGGAAUGGCGAUGGAGACUGCGAGGCUAGAGUUUGGCAGAGGGGGGUAGAAUUCCACGUGUAGCAGUGAAAUGCGUAGAGAUGUGGAGGAACACCGAUGGCGAAGGCAGCCCCCUGGGUCAAAACUGACGCUCAUGCACGAAAGCGUGGGGAGCAAACAGG
rnacentral:rRNA from 1 species